GUAGGGAGCGAGCGUUAUCCGGAUUUAUUGGGUUUAAAGGGAGCGUAGGCGGAUUGUUAAGUCAGUUGUGAAAGUUUGCGGCUCAACCGUAAAAUUGCAGUUGAUACUGGCAGUCUUGAGUGCAGUAGAGGUGGGCGGAAUUCGUGGUGUAGCGGUAAAUGCGUAGAUAUUAGGAGGAACACCAGUGGCGAAGGCGGCUUGCUGGACGAUGACUGACGUUGAGGCUCGAAAGCGUGGGGAGCAAACAGGAUUAGAUACCCUGGUAGUCCACGCCGUAAACGAUGACUGCCAGGUGUCGGGUGGCAAAGCCAUUCGGUGCCGCAGCUAACGCAAUAAGCAGUCCACCUGGGGAGU
rnacentral:rRNA from 1 species